AAGUCGUAACAAGGUCUCCGUUGGUGAACCAGCGGAGGGAUCAUUACAGAGUUAUCUAACUCCCAAACCCAUGUGAACUUACCACUGUUGCCUCGGCAGAUGUUGCUGGGCGAACCUACCCUGUAGCCAGCUACCCUGUAGCGACCUACCCGGGAACGGCUUACCCUGUAGCGCCUGCCGGUGGACUACUAAACUCUUGUUAUUUUUAAGUAAUCUGAGCGUCUUAUUUUAAUAAGUCAAAACUUUCAACAACGGAUCUCUUGGUUCUG
rnacentral:misc_RNA from 1 species